UACGAAGGGGGCUAGCGUUGCUCGGAUUUACUGGGCGUAAAGGGCGCGUAGGCGGACAGUUAAGUUGGGGGUGAAAGCCCGGGGCUCAACCUCGGAAUUGCCUUCAAUACUGGCUGUCUUGAGUGUGAGAGAGGUGUGUGGAACUCCGAGUGUAGAGGUGAAAUUCGUAGAUAUUCGGAAGAACACCAGUGGCGAAGGCGACACACUGGCUCACUACUGACGCUGAGGUGCGAAAGCGUGGGGAGCAAACAGG
rnacentral:rRNA from 1 species